UGAGCACCAGAGCCUGCAGGAUAUCAGACAGCGACACGAUGCCCUUGACGACGUCGUUCUCAUCCACCACUACCAGACGGUGAACCUGGCACAGAACAACGAGAAGUAAUGUGAGUGCCAGCUUCGGUCAGGACCCUGUGGUGGCCAAAAGAGGGCAUCAGAUCCCCUGGAACUGGAAUUACAGACAAGACAGUGACUGAAGGUGGAUGGUGGAUGGAGAGACUCAAUCUACCGUGUUAACUGGAAGACUUCCCUUGUUUUUGAAACAUGGAAACACAACUCACACAAACCAGGACACAACUUUAGAUACCAGAUGAAGAUUCGCUACACAGAGUUAAUGCUAUCAUUUUAAGUCAGAAGCCUACACACAUAUUGAAUUUGGAUUUCCCAGUUUUAAAAAUAAUUUAAAUCACUUUCCAAAUUUAUAUAAAAGUCUCAAUUCUCAGUUUCUUUAUAAAAAUGAGAUUUGGCAAAAAUAGGCCUUAAUUGAGCAGAAAUAGAUAGUUGCUGUCUCCUUUUAAGUGGGACACAAGAAUUAUAAGCUGUUACUUGUCAUAUUUAGUCCACCUCAUCUGCUUUGUCCACUACUGAGUUCCUGCCACCUACCUUGGAGCUACAUAGAUGCACUCAGAAGCAUACAGUAGGCACUGAUAUCAUGUGCGGUAUUCAAUUCUGGAAAGUCAUCUAGACAAUGUAACAUAUAGUAACACUGAUUUGUUUUGGUUUUUGUUUUUCAAGACAGGGUGUGGUAGUUUAAGUAAGAACGGCCCCCACUGAAUCAUUGAAUGCUUAGGGAGUGGCAUUAGGAAAUGUGGCCUUGUUGGAGGAACUAUGUCACUGGGGGGUAGGCUUGGGGGUUUCAAAACACCAAGUCAGGCCCAGUGGCUCACUCUCUUCCCAAUGCCUGCCAAUCUAGAUGUAGAAUCUCAGCUACCUCUCCAGCACCAUGUCUGCCUGCAUGCCACCAUGCUGCCCACCAUGAAGACAAUGGACUAAACCUCUGAACUGUAAGCUAACCCCAAUUAAAUGUUUUCCUUUAUAAGA